AUUGAACGCUGGCGGCAGGCUUAACACAUGCAAGUCGAGCGGGGGAAGGUAGCUUGCUACCGGACCUAGCGGCGGACGGGUGAGUAAUGCUUAGGAAUCUGCCUAUUAGUGGGGGACAACAUCUCGAAAGGGAUGCUAAUACCGCAUACGUCCUACGGGAGAAAGCAGGGGAUCUUCGGACCUUGCGCUAAUAGAUGAGCCUAAGUCGGAUUAGCUAGUUGGUGGGGUAAAGGCCUACCAAGGCGACGAUCUGUAGCGGGUCUGAGAGGAUGAUCCGCCACACUGGGACUGAGACACGGCCCAGACUCCUACGGGAGGCAGCAGUGGGGAAUAUUGGACAAUGGGGGGAACCCUGAUCCAGCCAUGCCGCGUGUGUGAAGAAGGCCUUAUGGUUGUAAAGCACUUUAAGCGAGGAGGAGGCUACUUUAGUUAAUACCUAGAGAUAGUGGACGUUACUCGCAGAAUAAGCACCGGCUACUCUGUG
rnacentral:rRNA from 1 species